UGUCCUCUGCGAGGUAUCAUCUGCCCAGGGACUCCUAGGCAUAGAGACAUCGGCUGUUCUGUUGUCACCUUGAAUUCCUAGCUGGCAGUCUGCCUAGCGCUGGAUUUGUCCUCGAUCCAUGCUCUCAGCUCUCAUUCCUAGCCACCUCCCUAAGCCCACUUAGAUUCCCAACCAUCCUCGCUAGCACUUGAUUACAUAUUGCCUGAAUUGUUCCCCAGCCCACGGUGAUCAGGGCCUCCUCCUCCCUGCCCGCCCACUCGCAACUCCCAGUGUGCUCAGCUUUCCACCUCCAGAAAUCCCAGCUACUGCCAUGCACUGUCAACGCCCUCCCUCCUCCCCACACACUUCAUUCCCUUCCCUGUUAGCCUAGGCUUCACCAGCCAGCCCCUCAGCCUCCCAAACCAUCUCCCCCUGCUAGGUCCCUUCGCCUCAGCCCCGCCCCUAUGAGGCGGGACCCUAGCUCUCCCUCCACACCACAGCCCCCACCCUGACAUCUGGGCUCCCAGGUUCAGGAGCUCUGCUGGAGAAAAUCACAGCCCACGCAGAUUGGCGCUACUACAAAGUCAUCUGCAGCCUCAGCGGGCUGCUGAGCAGCCUGAGACCUGACAUGGUGAUUUUCUUUGAAGAAAAAGACGGCAACUUCCAGAAAUGAGUACUGUGGUUUAGAAAGAAAGCACCUGACCUUGUGGCGAGAGUUCAUCUUGUUCUGUUCUACUUAAAAAGAAAUACAGAAGAUGAAGAAAGAAGGAAAAAAAUAUUCCACUGGGUGAUGGUGAUCCAUGUCUUUAAUCGCAGCACUCAGGAGGCAGAGGCAGGUGGAUCCCUGAGUUCGAGGCCAGCCUGGUCUCCAGAGCAAGUUCCAGGACAGCCAGGGCUACACAGAGGAACCCUAUAUUGAAAAAAACAAACAAAACAAAACAAAAAUAUAAACCAGUUUCCUUAGACUUAGAGAAUUCCAGUCUCUCUGCGGAUCCUGAGCCCUCUGAGGGGCCUAACAAGAACUUUGCAGACAUUCUUUGCCUGCUAAAGAAACCCUGACUACACAGCUGGUUCCUUCACCAGGGCUCCGAGUUUUUCUACCAAUUCCUUUCUACUCCUCCUUUGUGACUUUGCUUCAUGUCCAUUAGAAGGGGAAAGAGAGAUAAUUUCUGCUUCUUCGAGAGAGGCCAAGAUGAAGCCAAACUUCUAAAAAGAUGGGGACUCAUUAUUUAAUAUAAUUUCAGGAUUAGCCUUGGGUAUUUCAGUGGAGGGGCUAAAGGAAAGG
rnacentral:lncRNA from 1 species